GCCUGCACCUACAUGCAAUUCCCCCAUCUUCUGUUUAGCUACCAGAGGCCCUGAGAAUCAGCCUACUUCUGAUUUUUCACUUUCGAUCACUCCAAGUCUAAUCUAAAGUGUACAUUACUCUUUUUGGCGGCCAAAAUUAAUCACAUUUUGAAUAUGGGUUGUGGAGAAUGCUAAUCAAAAUUAAAAACAAGAUGGGAGACAUCUUUAGAACCUGGGUGUUUGGACUGCUUAGGUUCAAGGAUACUAGACAGUCAUAACAUUACUUCUUGUGCACAAGGAUUCCUGUUGAUCCUCCCACAAUCCCAAGGGAUGUGUAUGGCUCUGGUCUACCUACAGGGAAGCUGACUGGGCCCAGAUUCUGGGCCAGUAAGUGACAAGAAACCAGAAGAAUGAAUGGUCAUCUCUGCUUUUUGAAAUGAAGAGCCACCUCCAGAUUUUCAGGCUUCUGUGGUUGGGGCCACAGUCUGACUUCAAAUUUACAGGUCUGCUACUAUCUCGACAUUUCCACCUGUUGGACUUGGCCCUGUCCACGCAUUAUCUUUGCUGCGCACCCCUUCUCCCGGAUUCUUGAAGCCCCGCAGGCCCUCAUCACGCCGGCGGGUGUGGGUGUUCGGUGCUCUCAGCUCAGCGCAAUCCGAAGAGCCGGCGAAGAAUCAUCACCGGUGCUUGGGGACACUAAGAACUCGUGGUAAACUGAGGCCCGAGAUUCUGUGGCAAAAGGAGUUGAUACUUCAGGGCACAGACAGGCAAGGGAUCCUAGAGCAAGGGGCUGAUGCUGAACCCCCCCUGGGAUCACACUGAGUGAUAUGGCAAAUAGAAGAGCCCAAGAGAGACAUAAGUGACCAGAAGAAGGGAAAGAGGACUAGAGGGCUAGAACUGGGAGGGAGAGACGUAAAGGGCCAGUAAGCCUCGACAGUGGGCCUAGGGACGCAGAACUUGGAGAAAGAGCCAAGGGGCAGCUGGGGUCAGCGCUGCCCGAUUACUGCCCGCUGUGGACCCAGACUCAGUUACACUGAGAUCGGAAAAAUGUCAACUAAAAGACCAAAACCAAAACACAACCAGUAAGGCCUGCAGCUAACACAGGCCGAGGGGGAGAAGUCAAAAGCCUUCCCAGGGUGCUGUCGAGGCCUCCUCCAAGGGGCUACCCUCUCUCAGGGUAAAUAUUUACUCAGUAGGAGACUGGAAGCUAACGGGGGAGGGUGGGAAGGAGCGGGCUACACGGGGUGGAGAGAAUCCGGGCGCUCCACGCUGGCAGGGACAGAGUAUACACCAGCCCGAGGGAAGCCAGGGCCCGGGACUCCAGGGGCGGCUCGCCCCGGGUGCGCGGCUGGGGUAACUUAGCCCGCAGCGCGCUCUUAGGCUAGGCUCCUGCCCUCCACUGCAGGCCCAGGCCAGAUGUUGUAAAGUCUUCAUAAACCUGUCAGCGGUCGCGGUGCCGCGGACAGUAACCUGUGGGCCCCCCUCUCGGCGCUAGCGGGAUCCAAGGAGAGACGGCGCGGAGGAACAGGAUCCAGCUCUUUCCGAGGCCGCCCUCGCGCAACCGGGCGGACGGCGCCCGCCCGGGGACUGCCGAGGUGCGACCCCGGAGCUACAGGCUGUUGAGGGAGGAGAACUCCUUCCUAGCUCUCCAACCCCACCGACGCCCCGGGCUGCUACCCCGGGGUCUGCAGGUCAGCUACGACUACGUCCCCGCGCGCGAGAGGUCCUGCCGUUCGCAGUUGCAUUUAUGAAGGGCAGAGUUGGCGGAGAAGAUUAAGGGGCAGUUUCUUCCAACUUGCCCUCCUCCUCCCCUCCUCCUGGGGACAGGACCCCGGGCAGGCGCAGGCGACGGUGCCCGCUUCUCGCCCAGCCCUGGGAGCUCCAGGGAUGGAGACGAGGCAGGCUCUGAGCUCCGGGACGGGUUUUCGGAGCCCAGUGACUUCUUCCAGCCUCGAGUGGAGGGAAUGAGGUAGAAACAAGAUCUCGAAUCCGGUCCUCCCCAGGGAGCGCCUCUUUCAGGGUAAGUGAAAGAUUGAGCGCGGCGUAGAGUAAAGGAGGCCGGACUUCAGUCCUCUGCAGACUGCGCUACCGCCCGGGCCACGGGUUCCAGCCCCGACCUGCCCACUGCUCCGUCCCGGCCACUCGGGGUCAGCGGCCGCUCCUCCGCCUACUCGACCUCCCAGCGCCUGCUGCGGCACGUGGCAGCCGGAAGCGCGCCCUGUGCCCGAGGCCAGGGAGGUCCACCCUGAGCUGCGGGCCAGGCGGGAUCUGCGCCGUAGAGCCGCGGGUGGAGUGGGGGCGGCGGCUAGAGGGAAAAGCUUUGGGGUGAGGGAGGGACGAGACUGCCAGGGCCCCAGCCCCAGCCAGGCCUCCUGGGUUGGGGUGUGGAGGUGCCCACACACUGACCUGCAGGCCUGGACUUAGCCCGGCCGCGGACGCCGCAGGAUACACCAGCCCAAAGUGAAGGCGGGGGGCCUGCGGGGGGGCAGCCCCCAGAAGGAGCCCAGAUAAUUCUCGGAGAAUCUCCAAGGACUCCCUGCCGCCUCUCUGCCUUCCUGCCGACGAUGCUUACGAUUCAAGACCUUUCCCCAGAGGACAGCAGCGUGCAGGGUCCCCAGAGCGCAGAAAUCCCGCUGCGGGGCCGUGUGAUGCGCCCCGGGGCUGAGAGCGCUCGGCACCCGCUUUCUCCUUCCAAGGGCAGGGGAGGGGCCUGUUGCAGCCUGAAACCCGCUUUUAAUUCCCCGCCUGCCUGUUUCCGAUCACCCAGGGUUGGUUUUUCUGUUUGUUCACUCCUUCUGUUACAAUAAAAACAAUCGACAUUU